GUGGGGAAUCUUGCGCAAUGGGCGAAAGCCUGACGCAGCCAUGCCGCGUGAAUGAUGAAGGUCUUAGGAUUGUAAAAUUCUUUCACCGGGGAAGAUAAUGACGGUACCCGGAGAAGAAGCCCCGGCUAACUUCGUGCCAGCAGCCGCGGUAAUACGAAGGGGGCUAGCGUUGCUCGGAAUUACUGGGCGUAAAGGGCGCGUAGGCGGACAUUUAAGUCAGAGGUGAAAGCCCAGGGCUCAACCUUGGAAUUGCCUUUGAUACUGGAUGUCUUGAGUUCGGGAGAGGUGAGUGGAAUGCCGAGUGUAGAGGUGAAAUUCGUAGAUAUUCGGCGGAACACCAGUGGCGAAGGCGACUCACUGGCCCGAUACUGACGCUGAGGCGCGAAAGCGUGGGGAGCAAACAGGAUUAGAAACCCGGGUAGUCC
rnacentral:rRNA from 1 species